UUUUCUUCUCGACUCCAAGAGUAGAAGCAAUGGCGAUUUUAUUCCUCUAAUGACACAAACCCCCUUCGCACCUUCCCCUAGCGUCGUCUUCUCCAAAAACCCCUGCUCUCUUUGUUAACCCCUGGAAACCAACACCCACGAGCCCCUCUUAAUCCAAAUUCAUCGGAAUUCCACCAUAGCCAUCGACUCAAACCAACGACUCCUGCUUUCUUCAUACACAACCACUCUUUAACUCCAAAAUUCUAGUCACUGAACAACGCACACAGUCACACACGGACAAAACAAGGCAGAACAGAACAAUUCUGCUACUCUUGGGUGAUGAUUUGAGGUUUGUUUCGAUCGAAUUUGAAUUCGUCGAGUUCCAAUUCCUUGGUUCGGUCUAUGUUUUCCGUCGAUUCCCGUUCCCUAAUUCUAUUGCUAUUUUCCGUCGAGGACUAUCAUCAUUUUGCUCUUUGGUUUCUCAGUUUGUCUUGUAUGAUGUUUGGGUGUUAGACUUAUGUGAAUUCCAUGCCCAUUUGUGAUACCAUGAAUUGAAAUAUGAUUUUGGAAUGAAAUGUGAUUACAUGAUUCAAUGGGAAGUUACUGAAACAUUCAUGUAACAAUUUAUACAAAUACUUAUUGAUGAACUCGUUGGAUUUAUGUUUAUUGUGGGCUGAUUUGAACGCAUCUUGUUUUGUUGUUGGAAAAUGUUUGCAAAUUUGAAGAUACAUGUGAUCGAUUAUUUGUUGAUAAGAGUAAUUCUAUAGCUUAGAAUUAAGUGUUAGAUCCGAAUAUCAUUCUACUGGUUUGGAUUGUUAUGCAAAAGUUCUGUUUUCUGCUAAGUUUUCAAUUUAUAUCUUCGUGAAUUAUGAUUAAGUAGGAUGUCUUUUUUCUUUUUAAGAUAAGUAGGAAUAGAAAAUCGUAGUCACUGUUAGGUUAGCCUUUUAAUAAAUAAUGAUACGAGCCUCGCCAAACAAAGCAAUCGCGGGGCCCUCAAUAAGGGUUAUAUAAAAUUACUUAGAAUUCGGGAGGGCCGUUUAGCGAAUUUCACGGCCUUUCCCAAAAUAAUAAGAUGCUAGAAUAUUUAGACGCGUUUUAAUUAAAUUACCUUCUUAAACUCGGGUGUGCAUUGAUGCGACCCAAAUCCAAAUCUCGACGAAGUCUCGACUUGUUGGCGACCAUGGGUGCUUUGAUUGCGACGUGGUUGGAGACUCGUUUUCACGACGUCGCAAUUAUUUAAAAAUUAAAGCGGUUUGUAAAUAAAAGGCACAUAAGUUAGCAUGUAUUAAAAUCAAAUAAAAUCAAAUGCAACAGUUGAGCGACCGUGCUAGAACAACGUAACUCGGGAAUGCCUAACACCUUCUCCCAGGUUAACAGAAUUCCUUACUCGGAUUUCUGGUUUGCAGACUGUAACAGAGUCAUAUCUUCCUCGGUUUGGGAUUCAAAUAGGUGACUUAGGACACCAUUAAUCUCCCAAGUGGAGACUCUGAAUAAUUAAUAAACUAAAUCAUGUUCUGAUUGUCCUUUAAGUGGAAAAACUCCUUUACGCACCUUUGCGGGGGUGUAUAGCGAAAAGGGAGGUAUGACACCGUAAACAUUUCUUUCGCUGCCCGUUGUUCUCCAUGCAUGGUCGUGAUGUCAUCCCUCAUGGGAAACCUUAUCACCUGAUGCAAGGUUGACGAUACUUCCCUCAUGUUGUGUAUCCAAGGCCUGCCGAGUAAUGUAUUGUACCUCAUACCUCCGUCGAUGACCUGGAACUCGGUGUUUUAAAUCACUUCGGACGUGUCGAUUGGGAGGGCAAUCUCUCCUUUUGUUACUUUGCAUCAUGUUGAAGCCGUGGAGGAUUCGAGGGAUGGGAAUGACUUGAUUGAGGAACCCCAUCUGUUCUACAACCUCUAAUCUAAUUAUGUUGUCCGAGCUUCCGGGGUCCACGAGCAUACGCUUUAUCCUGGUAUUGUUUAAGAGAAACGAGAUUACCAGUGCAUCGUUCUGCUUUUCUACCAUGGCCUCGAGGUCCUCCUCGUUGAAUAUGAGGGUGUCUUCGAGUAUUCGGCUUUAGGUCAGUCCUUCUUCCGUAGUGGAUGUUCUCGUUCAUUUGAACAUGGGUCCUUGGGGAACAUCGGUUCCCCCAAUAAUCAUGUGAUCCAUUGCACGUGUUAGAUUUCAUUUCAGUCCAGUUGGACAAUGGUCUAUCUUAUGUUGAGGAGCCAAUGGUUAUAUUCGACAAACAGGUUCGAAAGUUGAUGUCAAAGAAUAUUCACUGAGUAAAGGUUUAGUGACGGGGUCAGCCGAUCGAGGAGGCAACUUCAGAGACCGAGCAUGAUAUAUGCAGCCGUUAUCCUUAUCUUUUCACCACUUUAGGUGUGUCUCUAUGCUCAUUCGAGUAUGAACAAAUAUUUUAAAAGGGGGAGGAUGUAACGACCCAACCGGUUAUUUUGAGAAUAUACGCCCCGAUUCCUUAUUAACUGCUUCCCUAGUUUCUUUUUCUGCUAUUGUGAUAUUCCGGAAGGGUUCAUUUUGAGUUUCAGAGUGUUUUGGGACAUUUAAUCCCUAAAUGAGAGUUUAAUUCUUAGAAUUUGGACCGUAGUCAGAGCUAUAUAAAGAUGGCUCUGGAAUGGAAUUCUUUCGAUUUCGUUAGCUCCAAUGAGUGAUUUCGGGCUUAUGAUGUGUCCGAAUUAUGUUUUGGAGGUCCGCUGCUUAUUUAGGCUUGAAAUGGCGAAAGUUGAAUUUUUGUAGUUUAGGGUCGAUAGAGAAAAUUUUGAUACCGAGGUUGGAAUCCGAUUCCGGAAGUUGGAGUAGGUCUGUAGUGAUGAAUAGUCUUGUGCACAACAUUUGGGGCCAAACGGACAUGCUUUGGUUAGUUUCGACAUCGGUUGUAGUGUUUUGGAAUUUCAAGUUCAUUAACUUUGGAUUGAAGGGUGAUUCAUAGUUUUUAGCAUUGUUUGAUGUGAUGUGAGGGCUCGACUAAGUUUUUAUAAUUUUUUAGGAUUGGUGGGUAUGUUUGGUUGAGGCCCCGAGGGCCUCGGGUGAGUUUCGUAUGCUUAACGGCUUUGAUUUGGACUUAGGCACUUUCUGAAGUUUGCUGAACCUGAUAUAAUUGCACCUGUGGGUAUGGGAUCGCAGGUGCGGAGCCGGAGAAGCGGAAAGGAAUCCGCAGACAUGGAUUUGGUCUUAGGCAUCAAGAACCGCAGGUGCGGCUAGGAGGAUCGCCGAUGCGGAACUGCUGAUGCAGCCGAGUGACCGGAGAUGCAGCACCAGUCCAGAUAAGUGACUUUCGCAUCUGUGAUGCUUUUUCCGCAGAUACGGCAAUCGCUGGGCAGAAAAGGUUAUUUUGCGGGUUUGAAAUUUCUUAAUACCAAGUUCGAUUUUUACCUCGGGAGAAGGCGAUUUCGUAAGGAUUUUGAAGAGGAAGUCAGUAGGUAACGAUUCCUAACCCUAUUUCGUUUAUAUUUCAUCAAAUCUAUAGUAAUUUCCUCCAUCUAAUCAAGAAAAUUGAGUGGAAAGUGAGAAUUAUGGGGGAAUGUUCCCCAAUCAAAUUUUUGGGUUUUGAUCGGGUUUAGGCGUCGGAAUUGAAUAAUUUUUGGACGAGUGAUCUCGUGAGUGAAUGGGUGUUCUAAAUUGGUAAUAUUUGGGCGUUUUUAUAUUUUCUUGCCUUAGCUUCAGCUUCAUUAGUUAUAUUAUUUGUUUGUAGUUAUAUUUACCUUAUGUAAUUGAUUUUCUCAUAUUUGGGCCACUAGAAGUUGGAUACUCAUGGCAAGAGCAUGAUUUCAGAUUGAUUUGAGCUUGGUUCGAGGUAAAUGGUUUGCCUAACCUUGUGUUGGGGAACUCCCCUUAGGAUUUUGGUAUUGUUUGAUGUAUAAGCACCAUGUACGUGAAGUGACGAGUAAGUACACGGGCUAUUUGUUGUAAAACUCUAUUUUUCACAAAGUAUUAACUGUUUUCCUUGUUAAACGACAUUAUAUGAUAUUAUUUUGAUUAGGUUAGAAAAGCAUGUUUUGCUAUAAUUGUUGUUUAUAUUAACUAUGUUGUAUAUUUACUUAGGGAGUACGGAACGGUAUUCCGGAAGAUCCCCAUAUACUGCAUAUUUAUU
rnacentral:lncRNA from 1 species